AGUGAACGCUGGCGGUAGGCCCAACACAUGCAAGUCGAACGGCAGCACAGUAAGAGCUUGCUCUUACGUGUGGCGAGUGGCGGACGGGUGGGGAAUACAUCGAAAUCUACUUUUUCGUGGGGGAUAACGUAGGGCAACUUACGCUAAUACCGCAUACGACCUACGGGUGAAAGCAGGGGAUCUUCGGACCUUGCGCGAUUGAAUGAGCCGAUGUCGGAUUAGCUAGUUGGCGGGGUAAAGGCCCACCACGGCGACGAUCCGUAUCUGGUCUGAGAGGAUGAUCGGCGACACUGGAACGUAGGCACGUGCCACACUCCUACGGGGGACAGCAGUGGGGAAAUGUAGACAAUGGGCGCCAGCAUGGACCACCCAGACCGCGUGUGUGAAGAAGGUCGGAGUGGUGUAAAGCCCUUCAGUUGUGAAAGAAAAGCAGCAGGUUAUUACAGAGCUGUACUGACGGUACCCAAAGAAUAAGCACCGGCUAACCUCGUG
rnacentral:rRNA from 1 species